GAGACUGGAUUGUUAAGCGUGUUAUUCGCUCUCAAAAUCGCGUGAUUGUUGAGGGGAAAAAUCUGGUAAAGAAACAUAUCAAGCAAGGGCAAGGGCAUGAAGGUGGGAUUUUUACAGUCGAAGCCCCCCUUCAUGUCUCAAAGGUUCAGGUUCUUGACCCAGUUACAGGGAGACCUUGUAAGGUUGGAAUCAGAUAUCUAGAAGAUGGUGCCAAAGCACGAGUUUCCCGAGGAAUAGGAUCAUCAGGGUCUAUAAUUCCUCGCCCUGAGAUCCUAAAGAUAAAGACCACACCUAGAC